rnacentral:misc_RNA from 1 species
AAGUUAAUGCUGGCAUAUUUUAAAGACUUGUUUCGGUCCUCUGGAGGUGAGGCAUCGAUGGUGCUCGAUUGUGUCUCUCCCGUGGUCACGAUGGAGCAGAAUUUUAUGUUAAUGGAUGAGUUCACUACAAAGGAGAUCAAAGAGGCUGUUUUUUCGAUAAAUCCAGACAAAUCUCCUGGCCCGAAUGGUAUGAAUCCUGCUUUCUUUUAAUGUUCUGGAGUAUUAUAGGCCAUGAU